rnacentral:rRNA from 1 species
UACGGGGGGAGCAAGCGUUGUUCGGAUUUACUGGGCGUAAAGGGCGCGUAGGCGGUCGUGACAAGUCACUUGUGAAAUCUCCGGGCUUAACUCGGAACGGUCAAGUGAUACUGUCGGACUAGAGUACAGAAGGGGCAACUGGAAUUCUCGGUGUAGCGGUGAAAUGCGUAGAUAUCGAGAGGAACACCUGCGGCGAAGGCGGGUUGCUGGGCUGAUACUGACGCUGAGGGACGAAAGCUAGGGGAGCGAAUGGG